CCUACGGGAGGCAGCAGUGAGGCAUAUUGGUCAAUGGACGAGAGUCUGAACCAGCCAAGUAGCGUGAAGGAUGACUGCCCUAUGGGUUGUAAACUUCUUUUAUAUGGGAAUAAAAUGUUCCACGUGUGGGAUUUUGUAUGUACCCUAUGAAUAAGGAUCGGCUAACUCCGUGCCAGCAGCCGCGGUAAUACGGAGGAUCCGAGCGUUAUCCGGAUUUAUUGGGUUUAAAGGGAGCGUAGGUGGAUUGUUAAGUCAGUUGUGAAAGUUUGCGGCUCAACCGUAAAAUUGCAGUUGAAACUGGCAGUCGUGAGUACAGUAGAGGUGGGCGGAAUUCGUGGUGUAGCGGUGAAAUGCUUAGAUAUCACGAAGAACUCCGAUUGCGAAGGCAGCUCACUGGACUGCAACUGACACUGAGGCUCGAAAGUGUGGGUAUCAAACAGGAUUAGAUACCCGAGUAGUC
rnacentral:rRNA from 1 species